rnacentral:rRNA from 1 species
GAUGAACGCUGACAGAAUGCUUAACACAUGCAAGUCAACUUGAACUUCGGUUUGGGUGGCGGCCGGGUGAGUAACGCGUACAGAACUUGCCUCACAGCUAGGGACAACAUUUGGAAACGAAUGCUAAUACCUGAUAUUAUGAUUUUAGGGCAUCCUAGAAUUAUGAAAGCUAUAUGCGCUGUGAGAGAGCUUUGCGUCCCAUUAGCUAGUUGGAGAGGUAACGGCUCACCAAGGCGAUGAUGGGUAGCCGGCCUGAGAGGGUGAACGGCCACAAGGGGACUGAGACACGGCCCUUACUCCUACGGGAGGCAGCAGUGGGGAAUAUUGGACAAUGGACCAAGAGUAUGAUCAAGCAAUUCUGUGUGCACGAUGAAGUUUUUCGGAAUGUAAAGUGCUUUCAGUUGGGAAGAAAAAAAUGACGGUACCAACAGAAGAAGUGACGGCUAAAUACGUG